rnacentral:lncRNA from 1 species
AGGGUGACACCGUCCCAGAGCACCUUUCCCUCCAGGCCAGACUCGGGGCCAGGGAGGGUAACCUGGCCUGUGCGUGGAGCAGCAAGGAAGAACCAAGACGUCUUGGCCUCCCGACAGAAGAAGACGAGGAGCCGAGGGCAAGGCCCUGCCAGCAGCAACCCAGGGCUCACAGCCGGCCUGCGCCACCGGGCUGGGUCUGGGCAGAUGUCCCAACCCUAUCUGCCCCUGCUCCAGACACCGGGAAGGGGUCAGUAGCCCAGCACACACACCCUCCCUAACUCCGGC